ACUAACAACUCCAGCUAGAUUUACACAUGCAAGUAUCCGCACCCCUGUGAGAAUGCCCUACAGUCCCCUGCUUGGGAACAAGGAGCCGGUAUCAGGCACAAUUACUGAGGCCCAUGACACCUUGCUUAGCCACACCCUCAAGGGAAUUCAGCAGUGACAAACAUUAAGCCAUAAGUGAAAGCUUGACUUAGUUAAAGCUAAGAGGGUCGGUAAAACUCGUGCCAGCCACCGCGGUUAUACGAGAGACCCAAGUUGUUAGAUACCGGCGUAAAGAGUGGUUAAGAUAAAUUAUAGACUAAAGCCGAACGCCCUCAGAACUGUUAUACGUUUCCGAAGGUGAGAAGUCCGAUCACGAAAGUGGCUUUACAUUAACUGAACCCACGAAAGCUAGGGUACAAACUGGGAUUAGGUACCCCACUAUGCCUAGCCCUAAACAUCGGUAGCAUUCUACAGCUGCUACCCGCCUGGGUACUACGAGCAUCAGCUUAAAACCCAAAGGACUUGGCGGUGCUUUAGAUCCACCUAGAGGAGCCUGUUCUAGAACCGAUGCCCCCCGUUCAACCUCACCCUUUCUUGUUUUCCCCGCCUAUAUACCACCGUCGUCAGCUUACCCUGUGAAGGCUCAUAGUAAGCAAGAUUGGCACAGCCCAAAACGUCAGGUCGAGGUGUAGCGCAUGGAAGGGGAAGAAAUGGGCUACAUUCCCUCCCCUCAGGGAAUUACGGACGAUGUACUGAAAUACAUAUCUGAAGGAGGAUUUAGCAGUAAGCAAAAAAUAGAGUGUUUUGCUGAAAUUGGCCCUGAAGCGCGCACACACCGCCCGUCACUCUCCCCAAGCUCACACCCUAAAGUAAAUAAAACCCUAUACCUGCAAAGGGGAGGCA
rnacentral:ncRNA from 1 species